GCUUUUGGUUCAGUGGUAGAAUGCUCGCCUGCCACCCGGACGCCCUGGGUUCGAUUCACGGCCGAUGCAUUUUUUUUUUUUUUACAAUUUUCAAAACUCAUUUAUAUAUUAUAGUGGCGGGCGCCCCGGGUUCGAUUCCCGGCCGAUGCA
rnacentral:tRNA from 1 species